AGAGGAUGUAACAGAACUUACAAAAGGAGACACUGUUAUUCCAAUCUUCAUGGCGGAUUGUGAAGAGUGUAUAGAUUGCAAAUCAACAAAGAGUAACCUUUGUUCAAAGUUUCCUUUCGAGAUUUCACCUUCGAUGAUUAGAUAUGAUACCAGUAGAUUCACUGAUUUAAACGGAGAGAUCAUACACCAUUUCCUAUUUGUCUCUAGCUUUAGUGAGUACACUGUCGUUGACAUUGCCAAUCUACUCAAGAUUGAUCCUGCAGUUCCUCCCAAUAGGGCCUGCCUCCUCAGUUGUGGUGUAUCAACAGGUAUGCAAACAUUAGAUGAGAUUGGUUACAUGAAUCAAGCGAUGUGUAGUACAUUUAUUAUUAUUCGAUGUAAAAGUUAAUCAUUUACCUCCAAAUUUUUGUCGAUGACUUAAAUUACAAUUUUUCGUCCAAUAUGGUCCUACAUGGCUCGAGGAAUUAAUUUCUGCAAUUGCACGCAGAACAUACUUGUUUGCACAAAAAAAAAUAUGUAAUCAUGGAGAGAAUAUAUGGUUGUGAAAAAUUCAAGGUUGUUCUUUUAUUUUAGUUCACAACUCAAUCACAUUCAUCUAAUUCAAUAUUUUGAUCCAUUCUUAGGGGUAGGUGCUGCUUGGAAAACAGCAAAUGUGGAGCCAGGGUCUACAGUAGCUAUCUUUGGACUGGGAUGUAUUGGAUUAGCAGUAUGGAUUUUCCAUAUAGUUUAUGUUAUCCUUUAGUACUUUGUCGUUUUGUAUGCUACAAUGCUUAUUGCAAUUGAAUGGCUUCUUAGGUUGCUGAGGGAGCUAGACUUUGUGGAGCAACUAGGAUUAUUGGUGUGGAUAUCAAGCCAGAAAAAUUUGAAAUUGGUAAUACAAUAUUUUAUUAAUAACAUCAUCACAUUAAGCAUAUAUUCCAGUACUAAUGUCUUAAUACUAUAAUUUUGAAGUUAUUAUUAUCAAUAUAGUAGUGACACUUCUGAUCGAAGGUGUGUCCGGUGUCUGAGGCAUGUCAAAGUCUGACGCUAACACAUCUGAUUACAUAUAAUUAUUUUUCUCAAAUUAUUACUGACAUUGUUGUGUCUGGUGUUCGUGUCUAUGUCGGUACUUCAUAGAAUAUUAUGUCUAAAUUAUGUAGUAUUUGAUUUCAUGGGUUUGUUUGUUCUCCCGUUUACUCAGGAAAGAAGUUUGGAAUCACAGACUUUGUGCAUGCUGGAGAAUGUGAAAACAAAUCUGUUAGCCAGGUUAUCAUAGAGAUGACUGGUGGGGGAGCAGAUUAUUGCUUUGAAUGUGUUGGUAUGGCAUCAUUGGUGCAUGAAGCAUAUGCUUCAUGUAGAAAGGUCUACUUCUAUCCCUUUGUGCAUAUAGUUUUCAUUUGUAAGACUCAAACACGAGAGUUUGCUUAAGUGAUCUGAGUCCAGUUUCAUUCGGACCAAUGCAAUGUUUAAUUUUGAACUAACUAGUUUGAAAUUUCAUGUUCUUCAUUUGAGUACAAUUUCAUGUUCUUUAAAAUUGGUGUUUUGGUUUCAGGGUUGGGGAAAAACAAUUAUGUUAGGAGUGGACAAGCCAGGAUCUAAGGUUAGCAUCAAUAGUAAUGAUAUUCUUUUUCAAGGGAAGACUCUCAUGGGAUCCAUAUUUGGAGGACUCAAACCCAAAACUGAUGUGCCAAUUCUUUUUAAACGCUACAUGGACAAGGUACUAUGCUCUUUGACCCUCUUUUGGUAACAUAUUGUAAAACUAGUAGUAGUUUAUGUAAAAAUAGUAAUGAUGAAUGAAGUUUUUAGAUGUUUUUGUUAAUUUUUUUGUCUAAUUAAUUAUUAACAGGAACUAAAUUUGGAUGAGUUUGUCACACAUGAGGUGAAGUUUAAAGACAUCAACAAAGCUUUUGAUUUAUUGGUUAAAGGAGAGUGUCUUAGAUGUGUGAUUUGGAUGGACAAAUGAGUUCAUCUUUGUGUAUGUCAAUGUAAUAAUUGUUACAUUUAGACCUUGAAUUAUGUCAAUAUGUAAUAUGUUGAAUAAUGCCAUCUUUUAUAUUUGAUGAAAAAACAUAUUUCAUCUAAAUAUAAAGCCGCCAAUAAGUAUAAAAAGAAUUCGGGUGUUCGAUUCUUAAAUCGUUUAAUUGAGAGGCAUUCAAACCAUGUUGUAAAAAAUCAAAUGUCUCGCUGCAUAGUAGAAUAUAGCUACAUAUAUAGUAGAAUAUAGUUCAACCCGAAUUCGGAAACACCUUGUCGGGUGAUACUCUUAAGAAAACAUGGGAAUGGAUUGUCUACAAUCACUGGAUCAUCCAGUGACAUCAGAACCAUUCAAAAAAAUUGAAAAAGAAAAAGUUGAAGAGAGAGAAGAAAAUUAGUGGUUGAGAUUACCACUUGAGGGACUGCAGUGGAAAAUCCACUAGAGACAAUCCAUUCCUAAAAAACAUGCUCUCCUUGAAAUUCUAUAACUUUCCUUCUCUUAUCAUGAUAACUCUUCUGCCUACUAUGAGACGCUUUCAUUUUCUCUUGUAUUAUCUUAAUCGUCUAAGUUGUCUCUUGAACUAUCUCCGGUCCAAGCACCCCGAUUCAUACCAACACAAUGGUGUCCUAUACCUCCUUCCGUACAAAGCUUCAAACGGUGUCAUCCCAAUACUAGAAUGGAACUAUUGUUAUACGUAAACUUGAUCAAAGAUAACCAUGAAUCCCAACUAUGAAUUUAUGUUACCUUGAAUCCUUACAUUUUUAAGGAUGGAAUUGCAAAAAGAAAAAUAAAUUAACAGAAGAAAAUUAGAACUCGUCCAAAUGACAUAGUAAAAAUAUCUUUAAUCCUUUUGUUUAAUAUUAAAUUUUUUAAUUUUUUAAAUUUAUCUCAGUUGAUAAAACUAUUACAUUAUAUAUGCAGAGCAACCUCAAACACUAUUUAUUUUUCAUUAAUGAUUUUUUUACUAAAAAUAAAUGAUAUUCAUUCAUUCAAAUUUAAAGAGUACAUCGAUACAAUACAAAUUCAAAUUCGCUAAAAAUAAAAAGGAUGAAUCUGUGAACAAACUCACAUAAGCCUACGAAUAUGACUAUAUUGAAGUGUCUGGAAUGUCCAUGUCUCCAGAUCUAUAGCGUUGAUGACACAAAAGUCGACAUCGAAAUAUGAAUUUGCACUUGAUCGAAACUAAUCCUUCAAAUGAACAUCGCACAAAGACGGGAUGACAACAUACACCACACAAUGACGGGACAACACCGCACAAAGACGGGACAACAAAAUACACAAAAACAAACAAAUAUGUGAAAAUCACACUUAUUUAAUAUAACGAGAAAGAAAAACAAUUUGGAGGGGUGAUUUUAGGUCAAGAUUUGACCUGAAAUCAUCCCUCUUUGAUAAACUAAGAAGAAGAAAAAGAAAAAGUGGUGACGGUUAGGGUUAGAAGAGGAGAGGAAAAGAGGAGAGGAAAGUGAAAGUUUAUCUAUAAUCUAUUUUUCAUUAAUGAUGAAAUUCUAACUACAAGCUUAUUUAACAAAAAGUAAUAAUUUGAAUUUGAACUUUAUACUCUCCUAUCUAUCUAACUAUCUGCUCACUCCGUCUCAAAAUAUAAAUAAAAAUUGAUCAACAAAAAUGAAUAUAAUUGGUCCAAAUCUUUAAUCAAAUACAUCAAAUUUAUUUGACUUAUUCUGGUUUACAUUUUUGGACUGAUUAGAACUCAAACUUGCCCACCACAAUGUGGGAUGUAGAUUGCUUGUAGUAACAGAUCAACACGGUUACACUCAGAUUUAAAUCUAGAUUGUUGAUAUCAUAUCAAACAGAUAAAAUUGAAGACUGUACCUUUUUAAUUAAAACAAUCUCGAUCGUUAAUUUUAUAUCAGACAGCUGAUACUGAUUAAGGCGUCCUACUAUAACAGCAGGAAAUCUGCUUCCCAAAUUGCACUCUUUCAACAUGCAAAUGCAUACAAUGCACAUCCUCCACAAAGGCACAAACAUGCUAUACCCCCAUGUGACAUAUAUCUAAACAUUUCAGUGCCCAUCAUCUAUCCAAACUUUCUCAAUUUUGCAUAUUCACCAACCAUAUACUUAUCCAAUUUGUCCAAAAUUGUCUCUUUAUAAGUCCCACUCACUUCAUACACACAUAGCUCAAUCCAAAAUACAUUCUUGCAUGUGUUUUAUUGAAUACUAUAUCCAUGGAAGAUCAACUAGUAAAAACAAGUGAAAAUCAACCCAUAAGAUGUAAAGGUAACUUUGUUUUUCUUUUCAAUUAUUUGUUUUAUGAAACUAUGAAUAUUAACUAUUUUGUUGGAAAUUUUGUAGCUGCGGUUUGUCGCAAACCAGGUGAACCAUUGAUUAUUGAAGAGAUCUUUGUUGCUCCACCAAUGCCACGUGAAGCUAGGAUUCGUAUUAUAUGCACCUCUCUAUGUCAUACCGAUAUCAUUUUUUGCAACAUGCAGGUCUUUAUUUUUGUACUAUGUUUUUGCUGCUUUUAUUUCGCUGAUUUAGCUCUGUUUGGUAUAGUGAGCUUAUAGCUUAUAUUUCUUCUUCCAAUUUUACCCUGUCAAGUAGUUUAUCAGCUUAUAGCUUAUCAUUUUUUCUUCUAAUAUGAGUUUAUAGCAUAUCAUUUUUUCUUCCAAUUUUACCCCUGUCAUCUUAUUUGGAAAAAAAAAUAGCUUAUAAAAAAAAUUGAAAAAAAAUUAAAUAUUAAUUAAACAUAUUUUUUUAAUGUCAUUUCAUACUUAUAAGCUAGUUCAACCGCUAAUUUUACGAAAUACUACAAAUUCAAUCGGCUAACUUAUUCGGUAUAAGCUAAAAGCUAACUUUAUAAGUUAUUCGCUAUAAGCUAGCUUAUCAUCUAUCCGCUAUUUUUUACCAAACAUUGCCUUUUUAAAAGUUUUGAUUAGUAAUUUUUUUUGAAGGGUCCUCCUGCAAUUUUUCCAAGGAUUCUGGGUCAUGAGGCAAUUGGGUGAGUUACGGUCUGUUUGGAUUAAUUUAUUUGAGCUUAUCUAUUGACAUAAGUUUUGCAAGACUGUUUGAAAGAACUUAUGAAAAAAUUUAUGUUACAUGUUAAUUUUUUAUAUUCAAUAUGAGGGUCAAGAUUUAAAUUUGAACAACCAUAAGAUGAGAUAGAUAGUUUCCAUUUGAACAUGAAUUUGAUCUAGAGGAAAACGUAUUUGUAAGCCGUCUGAUCGAGGUUGCAUUUGUGUCUCACAUUGCCAAAGUUCUCCAGUUCUGCGAUGAUUAUAUAUGUACAUCCGCACUUUCAUGCACUGAGCUAACUUUUGAGAGUGAAAUCCAAUCUUGUUUAUCGUGAUAUUAGUGUGGUGCGUAUAUGUACUUGGACACCCUCAUCAGAACGAAAUCCCUUUAACAAUUCGAACAUUGAUUUAAGAGUAAAUUCAUAUGUUGGCCUCAUACUAUGAUGAUGCAGGGUUGUGGAAAGUGUUGGAGAGGAUGUAACAGAACUUACAAAAGGAGACACUGUUAUCCCGAUCUUUUUGGCGGAUUGUGAAGAAUGUAUAGAUUGCAAAUCAACAAAGAGUAACCUUUGCUCGAAGUUUCCUUUCGACAUUUCACCUUCGAUGCUUAGAUAUGGUACCAGUAGAUUCACCGAUCUAAACGGAGGCAUCAUACACCAUUUCGGAUUUGUCU
rnacentral:lncRNA from 1 species